GAAAUAUUUCCGAUUACGGGGAAUCUUGUUUGGCCCGUUUUGAGUAUAUGGUGAGAUCAUCCUUUCUAAGAAUUAUCAAGUGAAAUAUUUAGCUACGAUAAUGCCCGGCAUAAAGAUCACUGAUGAGGAUCAAAAGAACCUUGAACAGGCAUUGAUCUGUACUCUGUGCAAACUGCUGUUGAAAAAUCCUAUUCAGACCGACUGCGGGCAUUUGAUUUGUAAAACUUGUGUUCAGAUAGUACUAAGUUGGUCAAACCCAAAAUGCCCAGAGGAUGGAACAAAACUCAAGGAGGAAGAACUGUUCCCGGAUAAAUUUAUUAAACGCAAACUCGGAGACUUGAACUUUCAUUGUCUUGAUGCUAGCUGUGGCUGGUUUGGAUGUUAUAAUGACAUUCAAAUUCAUACAAGUACAAUGUGUAAGAGUGUUCUUGCAAUUUGCAAAUUUAAAUCAUCGAGAAUGGAUAUUGAGCGACAAAAGGUUGUGUGUGAAGUGAUCACAGGAGAAUACGAAUUUCAUCCUAUGGACUACAACCACGAUGAGACACGGAACGGUACCUUGGUGUGGAAGAUUGAGGGCUAUGAGAGGAAGCGAGAGGAUGCGAUCAAUGGAAGAAGGGCCGUCUUGUACAGUCCACACUUCUACAGCGCUCAGUUUGGCUACAAAAUGUGCGCAAAAAUCUACUUCAACGGCAACGGAUUAGGAGAAAUGUCUCAUUUAUCUUUGUUUAUUGUUGUGAUGAGAGAACAUGCGCAGCCGUCGGAGAAUGUUUCUACCACUUUUAAGAUUCAGUAACUUAAAUUGCAAUUCUGUACGAAAUAUCAACACAUUCAAAUGGUGUUGGUUUCCUAAAAAAUACCUUCGAUUUAUUUUCGCGGGAGUUCAGAAAGGGCAGGAUAAGUGACCACGACGAACGCCAAUCUUGGCCAUUUCAGAAAAAAAUCACCAUGAUGUUAAUGAAUCAAGCGGGUGAUGGUAAUCACGUCGUUG
rnacentral:misc_RNA from 1 species